rnacentral:rRNA from 1 species
GAUGAACGCUGGCGGCGUGCCUAAUACAUGCAAGUCGAGCGAACGGACGAGAAGCUUGCUUUUCUGAUGUUAGCGGCGGACGGGUGAGUAACACGUGGAUAACCUACCUAUAAGACUGGGAUAACUUCGGGAAACCGGAGCUAAUACCGGAUAAUAUUUUGAACCGCAUGGUUCAAAAGUGAAAGACGGUCUUGCUGUCACUUAUAGAUGGAUCCGCGUUGCAUUAGCUAGUUGGUAAGGUAACGGCCUACCAAGGCAACGAUGCAUAGCCGACCUGAGAGGGUGAUCAGCCACACUGGAACUGAGACACGGUCCAGACUCCUACGGGAGGCAGCAGUAGGGAAUCUUCCGCAAUGGGCGAAAGCCUGACGGAGCAAUGCCGCGUGAGUGAUGAAGGUCUUCGGAUCGUAAAACUCUGUUAUUAGGGAAGAACAUAUGUGUAAGUAACUGUGCACGUCUUGACGGUACCUAAUCAGAAAGCAACGGCUAACUACGUG